AUUGAACGCUGGCGGCAGGCCUAACACAUGCAAGUCGAGCGGCUGAUGGGAGCUUGCUCCUGGAUUCAGCGGCGGACGGGUGAGUAAUGCCUAGGAAUCUGCCUGGUAGUGGGGGACAACGUUUCGCAAGGAACGCUAAUACCGCAUACGUCCUACGGGAGAAAGCAGGGGACCUUCGGGCCUUGCGCUAUCAGAUGAGCCUAGGUCGGAUUAGCUUGUUGGUGAGGUAAUGGCUCACCAAGGCGACGAUCCGUAACUGGUCUGAGAGGAUGAUCAGUCACACUGGAACUGAGACACGGUCCAGACUCCUACGGGAGGCAGCAGUGGGGAAUAUUGGACAAUGGGCGAAAGCCUGAUCCAGCCAUGCCGCGUGUGUGAAGAAGGUCUUCGGAUUGUAAAGCACUUUAAGUUGGGAGGAAGGGUUGUAGAUUAAUACUCUGCAAUUUUGACGUUACCGACAGAAUAAGCACCGGCUAACUCUGUGCCAGCAGCCGCAGUAACAC
rnacentral:rRNA from 1 species